rnacentral:rRNA from 1 species
CCUACGGGAGGCAGCAGUGAGGAAUAUUGGUCAAUGGGCGGAAGCCUGAACCAGCCAAGUAGCGUGCAGGAUGACGGCCCUACGGGUUGUAAACUGCUUUUAUACGGGAAUAACGCGCCUUACGUGUAGGGCUUUGCAUGUACCGUAUGAAUAAGGACCGGCUAAUUCCGUGCCAGCAGCCGCGGUAAUACGGAGGGUCCGGGCGUUAUCCGGAUUUAUUGGGUUUAAAGGGAGCGUAGGCCGCAUGACAAGCGUGCUGUGAAAUGUCCGGGCUCAACCCGGGCCUUGCAGCGCGAACUGGCGGGCUAGAGUUCGCGUAAGGCAGGCGGAAUUCGUCGUGUAGCGGUGAAAUGCUUAGAUAUGACGAAGAACCCCGAUUGCGAAGGCAGCUUGCUGCAGCGGAACUGACGCUGAGGCUCGAAAGCGCGGGUAUCGAACAGGAUUAGAUACCCUUGUAGUC